AGCUCCAAUAGCGUAUAUUAAAGUUGUUGCAGUUAAAAAGCUCGUAGUUGGAUUUCUGGUUUGAGCGUCCGGUCCGCUUCCUCUGGAAGUGCGUACUAAGGAUGUUUGAGCCAUUUUUUGUGAGGAUGUUCUUCUGCCAUUAGGUUGGUGGUUGAAUGGACUUGCAUCGUUUACUGUGAAAAAAUUAGAGUGUUUAAAGCAGGCGUUUGCUCAUUGAAUACAUUAGCAUGGAAUAAUAAGAUACGACCUUGGUGGUCUAUUUUGUUGGUUUGCACACCAGGGUAAUGAUUAAUAGGGACAGUUGGGGGUAUUCAUAUUUCAACGUCAGAGGUGAAAUUCUUGGAUCGUUGAAAGAUGAGCUUAGGCGAAAGCAUUUACCAAGGAUGUUUUCA
rnacentral:rRNA from 1 species